rnacentral:misc_RNA from 1 species
AGAACAGAGUAACGAAAGGGAGAAGAGGAAGUGUUGGCGGUUGACACAAGGGCGUUGUGGUGGAGGAUAGGGGGUUGGUGCUGAUUUUUUAGAUUGUUUGGGGGGUCGCUGAGGUUCUUAGAAGAAGAUGAAGAGGAGGAGGAGCAGAGGGAGCGAAGAAGGCGACGGUAGCGUCGGGUUCUAAAACAGAGACGAAGCAUAACUCCUGAACAAAAAUGGGAAUCGGCUUGCGUUUUCUUGGUCCCGUGAG